rnacentral:rRNA from 1 species
GACGUAGGGCGCGAGCGUUGUCCGGAUUUAUUGGGCGUAAAGAGCUCGUAGGUGGUUCGGUAAGUCGGAUGUGAAAUCUCCAGGCUCAACCUGGGGGGGUCAUUCGAUACUGCCGUGACUAGAGUUCGGUAGGGGAGUGUGGAAUUCCUGGUGGAGCGGUGAAAUGCGCAGAUAUCAGGAGGAACACCGGUGGCGAAGGCGGGUCUCUGGGCCGAUACUGACGCUGAGGAGCGAAAGCGUGGGGAGCGAACAGG